UUAGAUAUUCUUCAGUCUUCCAGAGUUCCAAAGGGCAGUAGGAAGAAGCAAUGAAAAUACCACCUGUAUUCUCACAUCUUUCAUUGUUCCACUCAAAAAAUACCACCAUGUUCACUUCUGGUGGAACGUUUAUGUCCAUGAGAAGCAGUGGCUUUGAAGAGUUUUGGCAGACUAUGGCGCCUUACUCAACAUUGGGAAGGUAUCUUGCCAUCAGACCUUUUGGGUCUCCAUGAAACUUCUUAUACCCCCUCUGGGAAAAGUCACUAACUGUGAUCUUACUGAGCUUCUAAACACAGCAUUUUUUUUACACUUAAGUGAGCGGGGGUCCUCCUCAUUUGUGCUUCUCUUCUUGUAAGGGUGACUUCCUCCCAGUAGGAUGAAUCUCAUGCCUAUUUGUGUUAUUUUGCUAAUUCCAGCUUCUUUUCUACUCAGGGGGGUUCCAACUCUUUUAAGGUCUCAUCUUCAGCACUUCUAAACUGUGGGAAACUAUGUGAAAACAAAUGGAGUGGCCAAACACACCAUUCAUCACUGUGCUUCUGGACAGCUGCAAGUCCAUACGUGUUCUGAUGAAGUCUGGCUCUGUUGCCCAGGCUGGAGUGCAAUGGCACAGUCUCGGCUCACUGCAACCUCUGCCUCCUGGGUUCAUGCAAUUCUCCUGCCUCAGCUUCCCAAGUAGCUGGGAUUACAGACAUGCACCACCAUGCCCAGCUAAUUUU
ensembl:lncRNA SYT9-AS1 SYT9 antisense RNA 1